rnacentral:rRNA from 1 species
AGGUAGUCAAGAUGAGAAUUCUAAGGUGAGCGAGCGAACUCUCGUUAAGGAACUCGGCAAAAUGACCCCGUAACUUCGGGAGAAGGGGUGCUCUUUAGGGUUAACGCCCAGAAGAGCCGCAGUGAAUAGGCCCAAGCGACUGUUUAUCAAAAACACAGGUCUCUGCUAAACCGUAAGGUGAUGUAUAGGGGCUGACGCCUGCCCGGUGCUGGAAGGUUAAGAGGAGUGGUUAGCUUCUGCGAAGCUACGAAUCGAAGCCCCAGUAAACGGCGGCCGUAACUAUAACGGUCCUAAGGUAGCGAAAUUCCUUGUCGGGUAAGUUCCGACCCGCACGAAAGGCGUAACGAUUUGGGCACUGUCUCAACGAGAGACUCGGUGAAAUCAUAGUACCUGUGAAGAUGCAGGUUACCCGCGACAGGACGGAAAGACCCCGUGGAGCUUUACUGUAGCCUGAUAUUGAAAUUCGGCACAGCUUGUACAGGAUAGGUAGGAGCCUUUGAAACGUGAGCGCUAGCUUACGUGGAGGCGCUGGUGGGAUACUACCCUAGCUGUGUUGGCUUUCUAACCCGCACCACUUAUCGUGGUGGGAGACAGUGUCAGGCGGGCAGUUUGACUGGGGCGGUCGCCUCCUAAAAGGUAACGGAGGCGCUCAAAGGUUCCCUCAGAAUGGUUGGAAAUCAUUCAUAGAGUGUAAAGGCAUAAGGGAGCUUGACUGCGAGACCUACAAGUCGAGCAGGGUCGAAAGACGGACUUAGUGAUCCGGUGGUUCCGCAUGGAAGGGCCAUCGCUCAACGGAUAAAAGCUACCCCGGGGAUAACAGGCUUAUCUCCCCCAAGAGUUCACAUCGACGGGGAGGUUUGGCACCUCGAUGUCGGCUCA